AGAGUUUGAUCCUGGCUCAGGACGAACGCUGGCGGCGCGCCUAACACAUGCAAGUCGAACGAGAGAGAAGGAGCUUGCUUCUUCGAUCGAGUGGCGAACGGGUGAGUAACGCGUGAGGAACCUGCCUCAAAGAGGGGGACAACAGUUGGAAACGACUGCUAAUACCGCAUAAGCCCACGGCUCGGCAUCGAGCAGAGGGAAAAGGAGCAAUCCGCUUUGAGAUGGCCUCGCGUCCGAUUAGCUAGUUGGUGAGGUAACGGCCCACCAAGGCGACGAUCGGUAGCCGGACUGAGAGGUUGAACGGCCACAUUGGGACUGAGACACGGCCCAGACUCCUACGGGAGGCAGCAGUGGGGAAUAUUGCACAAUGGGGGAAACCCUGAUGCAGCGACGCCGCGUGGAGGAAGAAGGUCUUCGGAUUGUAAACUCCUGUUGUUGAGGAAGAUAAUGACGGUACUCAACAAGGAAGUGACGGCUAACUACGUGCCAGCAGCCGCGGUAAAACGUAGGUCACAAGCGUUGUCCGGAAUUACUGGGUGUAAAGGGAGCGCAGGCGGGAAGACAAGUUGGAAGUGAAAUCUAUGGGCUCAACCCAUAAACUGCUUUCAAAACUGUUUUUCUUGAGUAGUGCAGAGGUAGGCGGAAUUCCCGGUGUAGCGGUGGAAUGCGUAGAUAUCGGGAGGAACACCAGUGGCGAAGGCGGCCUACUGGGCACCAACUGACGCUGAGGCUCGAAAGUGUGGGUAGCAAACAGGAUUAGAUACCCUGGUAGUCCACACCGUAAACGAUGAUUACUAGGUGUUGGAGGAUUGACCCCUUCAGUGCCGCAGUUAACACAAUAAGUAAUCCACCUGGGGAGUACGACCGCAAGGUUGAAACUCAAAGGAAUUGACGGGGGCCCGCACAAGCAGUGGAGUAUGUGGUUUAAUUCGAAGCAACGCGAAGAACCUUACCAGGUCUUGACAUCCUACUAACGAGAUAGAGAUAUGUUAGGUGCCCUUCGGGGAAAGUAGAGACAGGUGGUGCAUGGUUGUCGUCAGCUCGUGUCGUGAGAUGUUGGGUUAAG
rnacentral:rRNA from 1 species